GACGUAGGGCGCGAGCGUUGUCCGGAUUUAUUGGGCGUAAAGAGCUCGUAGGCGGCUGUUCAAGUCGAACGUGAAAACUCGGAGCUCAACUCCGAGCCUGCGUUCGAUACUGGACGGCUAGAGUCUGGUAGGGGAUCUGGAAUUCCUGGUGUAGCGGUGGAAUGCGCAGAUAUCAGGAGGAACACCAAUUGCGAAGGCAGCUCGCUGGACGUAACUGACGCUGAGACGCGAAAGCGUGGGAGCAAACAGG
rnacentral:rRNA from 1 species